rnacentral:antisense_RNA from 2 species
CUUGAUCGAACCGAGCCACAGCGGCUGGUCCCCGUCGCGGUCCUGGCCGUAGGCGGCGAGCAGGGCGUCGGCCUC